rnacentral:rRNA from 1 species
AUUGAACGCUGGCGGCAGGCCUAACACAUGCAAGUCGAGCGGGGUUUUCGGACCUAGCGGCGGACGGGUGAGUAAUGCGUAGGAAGCUACCCGAUAGAGGGGGAUACCAGUUGGAAACGACUGUUAAUACCGCAUAAUGUCUACGGACCAAAGUGUGGGACCUUCGGGCCACAUGCUAUCGGAUGCGCCUACGUGGGAUUAGCUAGUUGGUGGGGUAAUGGCUCACCAAGGCGACGAUCCCUAGCUGGUUUGAGAGGAUGAUCAGCCACGCUGGAACUGAGACACGGUCCAGACUCCUACGGGAGGCAGCAGUGGGGAAUAUUGGACAAUGGGCGCAAGCCUGAUCCAGCCAUGCCGCGUGUGUGAAGAAGGCCUUCGGGUUGUAAAGCACUUUCAGCGAGGAGGAAGGGGUGUGUGUUAAUAGUACACACCUUUGACGUUACUCGCAGAAGAAGCACCGGCUAACUCUGUGCCAGCCGCCGCGGUAACAC